GCAAGUCGAGCGCCCCGCAAGGGGAGCGGCAGACGGGUGAGUAACGCGUGGGAAUCUACCCAUCCCUACGGAACAACUCCGGGAAACUGGAGCUAAUACCGUAUACGCCCUUCGGGGGAAAGAUUUAUCGGGGAUGGAUGAGCCCGCGUUGGAUUAGCUAGUUGGUGGGGUAAAGGCCUACCAAGGCGACGAUCCAUAGCUGGUCUGAGAGGAUGAUCAGCCACAUUGGGACUGAGACACGGCCCAAACUCCUACGGGAGGCAGCAGUGGGGAAUAUUGGACAAUGGGCGCAAGCCUGAUCCAGCCAUGCCGCGUGAGUGAUGAAGGUCUUAGGAUUGUAAAGCUCUUUCACCGGAGAAGAUAAUGACGGUAUCCGGAGAAGAAGCCCCGGCUAACUUCGUGCCAGCAGCCGCGGUAAUACGAAGGGGGCUAGCGUCGUUCGGAAUUACUGGGCGUAAAGCGCACGUAGGCGGAUAUUUAAGUCAGGGGUGAAAUCCCAGAGCUCAACUCUGGAACUGCCUUUGAUACUGGGUAUCUUGAGUAUGGAAGAGGUAAGUGGAAUUGCGAGUGUAGAGGUGAAAUUCGUAGAUAUUCGCAGGAACACCAGUGGCGAAGGCGGCUUACUGGUCCAUUACUGA
rnacentral:rRNA from 1 species